AAAACAGUUUAAAACUGUUGAUUUGAUGUGAAAUUGCUGUAAAUAAAGUAAUGUGGAAAAACCGUAAUAUGUACAUUUUUUCUCUGAAAAAAAUACAUAAACCUACUGUAAAUCACUCUUGCAUAGUUUUUUUAACGGAAGAUUCCAAUAAAGUUUAGAACAGGCAAACACAAUUUUUUUUUUACAUUUGUUUAUUGAAAAAAAUACAGGUUUUAAUUGGUGAAUGUAAGCAUUGUUGUUUUGGUAAUGGAUCCAUGCUGUAAUAUGACUUCAUGAUUUUUGCAUUAAUUUCACAUAAUAAUAAUGGAUUAGAUAGCGGUUUUCAAGAAGCCCAAAGCACUUUACAUUAAAUCCAUUCUUGAUUCAUAGCACAUUUAAUACAGCAUAUUCUUCCUCAAAUUGUAAUAUAACAGGUACAUAUGUCCCAAGAUCUUUAUACUAGAAAUGUAUUAGGGCAAUUUUUGGAUGUAGUUUUUGUAAAGAAUAUGGGAUGUAGCUGUUAAAUCUACAUUCUGUUGAACUCAAUAAACCAUGAGCUUAAAAUGUAAAAGCCAACAAAAGCCAACAACAACAAGACCUACAGCUAAUGAUAGACAUACUAUAUUAUUGAGUGAAUUCAUAUAAUCCCAAAAGUGUUAAAAGAUUUUAAAAGCACCUCCUCCCAAAACUAGGCGUUUUCCCCUGAAGUUUAGAACACCGUUUCACAUCAAGGCGCCUGAUUUCAAACGGGCCAAUCAGCGCACUGCAUCAGGCUCCACCACAGACAACGUCUGUACAGCUCACCACAAGUUUUGCUUUGGAGUACGGCAGCACGCUAUCUUCAUUUUCGUGGACUUGUUUCUCAUUUUUUUAAUUUAACGUCUGCCACAGCUCGUCUUCAGUUACUACGGGUGCUGAUCUAGCAGUGUGUGGACCUCAGCGGACCCCAGAAACGUAUAGAUCUGCCACUGAACAGCUGGAAAGAGAAGACGUGUCAGAAGUUCAGGGGAUAAAGUUCAGAUAUGGCUGAAUCGCAGGUGCUUAUCUUAAAGAACAUAGGGGAUGCAAUUGCAGGAGUGCUUCCAGACCUUCCUGAUCAACUUCUCAAGUCGGUAGAAGAUACUUUGAAAAAAACUUGGUGCCGAAACCACAGAUGAUUUAAAGUACAUUACAGAAAAUGACCUGCUGCUAGUGCUCAAGCCCAUACAAUCCAGAAGACUAGUGGUGCCUGGACCCAAAAUGGUAAGUGUAAAACAUUACCACCACACCAAACGCACAGAGGGCUGUUGAAGUUGGAAAUAGUUAGAAUAUGAGUGUUCCUGAGUUUGAUGAUGUGACCAUCAUUAUUUAACCAUGCUUUCUGUGUAAAUAAAACUUGGAUGUUUUGUGGGGCAGUUUAAUACAUUUUGAGUUUUGAAAUGCAAUCUAUUAGACAAAUUGCAUUAUUAAAUUUUGACCAUGCUCUGUAACCUUAAUAUCUCAAGAUGUAUCUAUGCAGUGCAGAAUUUAACAUAACAGCAAACAUGAUUUCAUGCUUUCAUCUCUUUUAUAUGUACUUUUAAAGUCUGGCACUUCGACACCAAUCGCUGUACAUUCCUCUCCAGUGGAUGUCCUUUUUUCUCCACCCUCAAUUUCUUCUUCACCAACAUCAUCCACCACUACUUCAUCACCUUCAGGAAUCUGUACACCAUUACUACCAAACUGGGUAGAGAGAUUUGAGAUACCAUGGCAGAGGCUCCCUGAGGAGUUGGUACAGAUGACGACAACAACACAGACGAAAUACCAGCUGAACAAAAAGCAAGGGUUCAAGACACAUGGCUGUAUUAGCUGGGAGCCAAAGCAUUUGCCACUCUGAGAUUGUGGAGAGUCAGCUUGAAAAAAAAAGAAGAAAUGAAGAAGCUGUUUAAAAAGAAUAACUACAAUACAGAUGUUGUGAAAGAACUAGUCAAGUGCACCUAUUACACGCAGUGUAAAGACAUCAACAAAGGGGCAAGCAUCCAGAAACUAUGCCAGGAAUACUAUGCCAAAAAUAACUAUUUGCUCGGGCAGAUGCAGAAGGAGCAGAAGGACACCCUGAAUGAGUCCUCACAAAAACCCCAUCCAUGAAAUAAUACCCUGCGGCUCGUGCUCUCGCCACGACGCUUUUAGAGU